rnacentral:rRNA from 1 species
GAUGAACGCUGGCGGCGUGCCUAAUACAUGCCAGUCGAGCGAACGGACGAGAAGCUUGCUACUCUGAUGUUAGCGGCGGACGGGUGAGUAACACGUGGAUAACCUACCUAUAAGACUGGGAUAACUUCGGGAAACCGGAGCUAAUACCGGAUAAUAUUUUGAACCGCAUGGUUCAAAAGUGAAAGACGGUCUUGCUGUCACUUAUAGAUGGAUCCGCGCUGCAUUAGCUAGUUGGUAAGGUAACGGCUUACCAAGGCAACGAUGCAUAGCCGACCUGAGAGGGUGAUCGGCCACACUGGAACUGAGACACGGUCCAGACUCCUACGGGAGGCAGCAGUAGGGAAUCUUCCGCAAUGGGCGAAAGCCUGACGGAGCAACGCCGCGUGAGUGAUGAAGGUCUUCGGAUCGUAAAACUCUGUUAUUAGGGAAGAACAUAUGUGUAAGUAACUGUGCACAUCUUGACGGUACCUAAUCAGAAAGCCACGGCUAACUACGUG